rnacentral:tRNA from 1 species
GCCCCUGUGGCGGAAUUUGGCAUACGCGGUAGGUUUAGGACCUAUUGGCUCAUUAAGGCCUUAGAGGUUCAAGUCCUCUCAGGGGCA